UGGCGGCGUGCUUACACAUGCAAGUCGAACGAUGAAGCCCAGCUUGCUGGGUGGAUUAGUGGCGAACGGGUGAGUAACACGUGAGUAACCUGCCCUUAACUCUGGGAUAAGCCUGGGAAACUAGGUCUAAUACCGGAUAGGAGCGCCUACCGCAUGGUGGGUGUUGGAAAGAUUUAUCGGUUUUGGAUGGACUCGCGGCCUAUCAGCUUGUUGGUGAGGUAAUGGCUCACCAAGGCGACGACGGGUAGCCGGCCUGAGAGGGUGACCGGCCACACUGGGACUGAGACACGGCCCAGACUCCUACGGGAGGCAGCAGUGGGGAAUAUUGCACAAUGGGCGAAAGCCUGAUGCAGCGACGCCGCGUGAGGGAUGACGGCCUUCGGGUUGUAAACCUCUUUCAGUAGGGAAGAAGCGAAAGUGACGGUACCUGCAGAAGAAGCACCGGCUAACUACGUGCCAGCAGCCGCGGUAAUACGUAGGGUGCGAGCGUUAUCCGGAAUUAUUGGGCGUAAAGAGCUCGUAGGCGGUUUGUCGCGUCUGUCGUGAAAGUCCGGGGCUUAACCCCGGAUCUGCGGUGGGUACGGGCAGACUAGAGUGCAGUAGGGGAGACUGGAAUUCCUGGUGUAGCGGUGGAAUGCGCAGAUAUCAGGAGGAACACC
rnacentral:rRNA from 1 species